GAAUGUAUUGUUGUUAAUAUGUUUACAUGAAUUGAUUAUAUACUUGAGGGGUUAAAGAAAUCCCCUGCCUUCAAGUUGAUUGUCAAGUGAAUUCCCUGAAAAUGACACGCCCCGACCCUGAUAUUCCCCGAAUACCAGGUUCGACACGUGUUGGCCGACACCCGGGGAUGACGAAAGCCAUUAAUUGAUACAAAAGCUAAGAAUAGGAAAUAAAUAAGGGUUAGAAAUUUAAAAUACAAAGAAUUAAUAAUUUUAGGAACGUGCUCAGAGCAUACAACUAACCUAAUCUCUAAAAAGGAUUAAGAUAAAAUUGGAUGAAUAAGGAAGUGGGUCCUACAUCGAGAGGAUCUGAAGAUGCUGCUGCGGAAGUGUCUUCACGCCGGGAUUAGGUGCCUUGAUUCUAAGUCCUGAAUGGGAGCGCAAAACAAAGGUGAGUGGACCAAGUUUAUAUAUAUAAUAAUAAUAAAACAGUUAUCAAUGUACUAACCCCCAAAGUUUAUAUAUAAUGAAAACUACUAGCAUAAUAAAUGAUGGAUUUAAUAAAAAUCCUAGCAUGCCAAAUAUCUCAAAAAUCACAUCGCGGAAAUCAAAACAAUAAAUGCAUCAUAAAUCGUCUCGUAAACGCGGUGUGCUGCUAGAAAGAUCACUGAAUAAAUAUAACUCCCGGCCCAAUGUCUGCACCUCAGUCUCUGUACCCGUAGCCAGAGAUAACUCUCUCCCGGCCCAAUGCCUGUCUCCGUGUCCCUCAGCCUUUCGCUAGGGAUUAUUUCUCCCGGCCUACAUGCCAACACCAGAUCCUCGCCCCAGGCGGCAUAGUGUCCACUAGGUACGCACAAAUAGUUACGUCUCUCUUAAAUAACCACUUUAUAGCAUAGGUUACCGAUCAUCGUCUACACUAUAAAGAGGGGUUCAAAAACAUGUUUUGGCAUCCUAUCGUCAUCUAUCAGAUAGUCUACCAGUUCAUGGUUUUUAUAGAAAAUAUGAUAUAUAUUAAAAUAUAGCUCAAUAUAAGCUAACAAUUAUUUCCUCACCAUAACACGAGACGAAAUCAAUAAAUUCAGUAAACAGGAUUGAUAUAAAUCAAUUCACAAAAUUCGUAGGCAUGCUAAUCAUUUAUGCAAUUACUAUUAAAUCAUGUAAUUUUAGAAGGGGUCCACUCACAGUACUUAGUUGCCAAAAGCUGCGCCACUAGCGAAGACGGAAACGUCACAAUAAAUGCCCCUAAGCACAUAAAGAGUCCAAUAAUUAAAACUAUAUAAUAGCAAUUGAAUUUGGGAAAACGGACAUUGGAACCGGAUUCAGAACGUCGUUUUACCCUAAGAAGGGUCCCGGACGAAAACCCGAAAAGUCAACCCUAAAGUCAACGUUGACCGGGGGUCAACGGUCAAAUUAGGUCAAACGGGUUUUAGGCUUGAAAUCCGGAUUAGGGUUUAGGUUUAAAUAAAAUAGGGGAUUUGGGAUUGGAUGGGUUUAGGGUUUAAAAGGAUUUUAGGAACCUAGGGUUUUGGGUUAAAAUGGUUUUAGGGUGAGAAUUGGGGUUUGGGCUUUAGCCCAAACACACACAUACUACAAAUACACACACACACACACGGGGCAUGCAUGUGCAUGCAUAAACACAUACACAUACACACCUAACACACACACACACACGGGCACAAAAUCACAAGGCCUUAAGGCCUUAAUAAAAAUAAAUAAAGAAAAACAGGGCUUUAAGCCCCUUUUAAAACCACCGGCCCAAGGCCCUUUUUAGGGUUUUAAAACCAAAUAAUAAAACUUAAAACUAAAGGCUAGGGUUUUGGGCUUAAGACAACACGGGCCUAAGGCCCGAGGAAGAGGGAAAGGCCGGGUGGCCUGUUGCCAAGGAAGAAGAAGGCCGGGAAUUCGGCCGGAAAACCACCUCACUUUAAACGGCCAUAACUUUGUCACUACUCAACGAAAUCAAGCGAGAAAAAAGCGAAAGUUGUAGCCCUGGAAGAGAAGAAGAGAACGAUACCUCACACGAUGUCUAACUCGCCGUGGUUUGGCCGGAAAACGCCUCGAAAGCCGUCGGACUCGCCGGAAACUGGGUAAGAUUCAAAUGCGUAUAACUUCUUCAAUACGCAACGAAAUUGAGUGAAAUAAAAAGGAAAGUUAUAGUACUCGACGAGACGAAGAGAUUGAUACCUUACACGCCGGCCAACUGGCAGUGGUUUGGCCGGAAAUGGCCUCGAAAGCCGUCGGACUCGCCGGAGGUUAUUUUCCCCGAGUUGAGCAGAGGCAAGAGGAAGAGGAAAGGGACGAGGUUUAGAUGGUGAUGUCCUCAGCAGAUGGCGUGGCUGAGUGUGUUGCUCGGGGAAGAGGGAGUCGUAGCGAGGGAGAGAUGAGGUCCGAGAAAGAGCUACGGGAGAGGUGAGGGAGAAGAGAGAGACCGGUAAACAUAAAAAAAAAACAAGGUGGGCCCCAUGGGCUCACCAAUUAAGAACUAAAAACCAUUUUUAAAUAAAAUGGGGUGGGUUUUAACAGAAAAAGUAAGUAUAUGGCACUUGAUUGUUGCGUGAACAGGGAUGAAAAUCUUUU
rnacentral:lncRNA from 1 species